UAUGAAAUUGUCAGGACCAACAAGGUUUUCAAAUUUGUCAUGUUUCUACGUCCUUGGAAGGACCUCUGAGCUUCGGAAGAGUCCGCGUGUCAUAUUUAAGCGUCCAUCUAUCAACCAGCUGGCACGUGUCUGACACAUGUCCGACAUGUUGAAGCGUCGACGACCGACGCAUCAUAACCAAAAAGUUGGUUUAUGCAUCCGACUUUGAGUUUGGCUGAUGCGUAUGUACGUGGCUCCGCCGACUCUUCCGAACGGCUUGGCCGACUCUUCCGAACGGCUUGGCUGACUCUUCCCAUUUGCUAGGCUGACACUUAUCAACGGCUUAGCUGAAUUAGUUCUUUGGCUCGGCUGAGUUCUCCAAUAUAUAUAUUUUUUUGGUUUUUUUUUAUUCUAUUAAUUAUAUCAUAAAAUGUUCCCACAUAACUUAUCUCGAAAUAUAACAUUAAACAUAAAUUUUCAAAGUUAAAUGUUACAACAUAACUUAAAUAUUACAACCUAAACUAAAGAUAUGAUUUAAAUAUAAAUUUCUAAUUUUUCAGCCUAUAUAUACAGGCCCACGGUGCUCAUUAGUGUGCAUGAGUAUAAUGGCAACCGGGAGGCGUUUCAGUAACAUACCGGAAUCAGUAGAAAACACUAUCUGGGCCAAUGAUAACCAACAACAUGAAAAUUGGUCUCCAAAUGUUCUUGAGUUUUAUUAUGCGGGUGACUGUCCUUCUUGUUAUUCCAGCUAUAGCUAUAUGGGAGUACACCUCUAGAUAAGCACUGGUGGGGUGGCCUAUUAGGUUUCUGUGGAAACGGUUUUAUUCAACAAAUGCAUGUCGGAGCAUGGUGUAACUGGCUCGUGCAGACGAAGAAAAAUGAAAAUCCCGGAAUUGCCACUUCAUCGGUCAGUAAUCGCUGGACGUUGCUCCCGCCUCAAUUUCUCAAUCUCCUUGUAGAACAACAUCAUGAUGCUUGUGGAUAUGUAAAUGGCUCUAGCGGAAUAUAUCCUGCGUUGUGGGAUGUCGAUACGUUGCGAUGCAAUUAAUUGUGGUGAUUCGUUUUGCGUCCACCGGAGAAUAUACCAAACUCUUAUUGAAUUCGAGUCGGCAUUCCUAUGGUUUCUAGAACGUAUAGGUUACUGGGAAAAUACUGGACUCAGCGAGUCUGACGCAUUAGAAUAUGAUGGGGAUGUUGUAUGGCCUACCAGUGUUCGUCACGUACGACGAAAUUCAGGGGUGAUCGUAUGUAUAUUACUACAAAAUCUAGUUCAAAACUGUUCACUCAAAUGGGAAGAAGGAAACAUUCAAGAUGCUUGUAUGAGAUAUAGAACAUUUAUGGUUGAUCAACUGUAUGUUGGCCGCUAUGUUUAUUAAAAUUUAAUAAAAGUUUAAAAAUUA